CCAAGCCCAUCCAGGGGCAGCAGAAGAAGCCCUUUGAGGAGCACUGGAGGAAGCACACCCUGUCCUAUGUGGACGUCAGCACUGGGAAGGUCACCCUGGAAUAUAGACCCGUAAUUGACAAAACUUUGAAUGAGGCUGACUGUGCCGCCAUCCCCCCAGCCAUUCACUCCUGCUGAUGAGACAAGAUGCGGUGAUGACAGAAUCAGCUUUUGAUCGGUGCAGUGGUGCAGUCUCAGCUCACUGCAGCCUCAAACUCCUGGGCAGCUCAGGUGAUCUUCCCGACUCAGCCUUCUGAGUAGUUGGGGAUACAGAUGGUUUACUAGGUGAGUGUGUCCUCGAUUAUUUAAAUCAGGGGUCCCCAAUCCCCAGGCCACAGAUUGUUACCAGUCCAUGGCCUGUUAGGAACCAGGCCACACAGUAGGAG
rnacentral:lncRNA from 1 species